rnacentral:rRNA from 1 species
UAGUCUGGUGCCAGCAGCCGCGGUAAUUCCAGCUCCAAUAGCGUAUAUUAAAGUUGUUGCAGUUAAAACGCUCGUAGUCGGAUUUCGGGGCAGGUUUGCCGGUCUGCCGAUGGGUAUGCACUGGUAGAACUGUCCUUCCUUCCGGAGACGGCGCCUACUCUUAACUGAGCGGGUGUCGGAGACGGAUCGUUUACUUUGAAAAAAUCGGAGUGUUUCAAGCAGGCAGCUCGCUUUUGCAUGGAUUAGCAUGGGAUAAUGAAAUAGGACUUUGGUGCUAUUUUGUUGGUUUCGAACACCGAAGUAAUGAUUAACAGGGACAGUCAGGGGCACUCGUAUUCCGCCGAGAGAGGUGAAAUUCUUAGACCAGCGGAAGACGAACCACUGCGAAAGCAUUUGCCAGGGAUGUUUUCACUGAUCAAGAACGAAAGUUAGGGGAUCGAAGACGAUCAGAUACCGUCGUAGUCUUAACCAUAAACCAUGCCGACUAGGGAUUGGAGGAUGUUCCUAUGUGACUCCUUCAGCACCUUUCGGGAAACUAAAGUCUUUGGGUUCCGGGGGGAGUAUGGUCGCAAGGCUGAAACUUAAAGGAAUUGACGGAAGGGCACCACCAGGAGUGGAGCCUGCGGCUUAAUUUGACUCAACACGGGGAAACUUACCAGGUCCAGACAUUGUGAGGAUUGACAGAUUGAGAGCUCUUUCUUGAUUCGAUGGGUGGUGGUGCAUGGCCGUUCUU